ACCAGCUCAACUCUAACCUGACAAUUAAAACUCGUUAAUGAUCCUUCCGCAGGUUCACCUACGGAAGGAUCAUUAACGAGUUUUAAUUGUCAGGUUAGAGUUGAGCUGGUUAAUGAACCUGCGGAAGGAUCAUUAACCAGCUCAACUCUAACCUGACAGGUACUGUAGAGAAAAGUCGUUAAAUGAUCCUUCCGUAGGUGAACCUGCGGAAGGAUCAUUAACGAGUUUUAAUUGUCAGGUUAGAGUUGAGCUGGUUAAUCUAAUUAAUAUGUGCUUACUCUAAUCGAAACAAGUCCACUCAUUACUUAACACUUGUGAACUUAUUCAUUACAAACAUUAUUAUUUGUUAUUGGAACGUUUGAUUAUUAAAAAGUUAAUA
rnacentral:misc_RNA from 1 species